rnacentral:sRNA from 1 species
ACAUAACGAAUACCGUGAUUUUUAAUCAAUUGGUCGCAGGUUCGAGCCGAGCGAAGCGAGACAGCAACGCGUUAGCGUUGACCCCGAAGUCUGAGCCAGACAGAACGAUCCGCCCUUCAGCCA